GCGUCAGUGGUUUAGUGGUAAAAUCCAUCGUUGCCAUUGCAUAACAUGCGAAUCUCGAUGGGCCCCGCGUUCGAUUCGCGGCUGACGCA